rnacentral:rRNA from 1 species
GUUGGCUUGGAAGCAGCCAUUCAUUUAAAGAGUGCGUAACAGCUCACUAGUCGAGGAUUUUGGCAUGGAUAAUACACGGGCAUAAGCAAUUUACCGAAGCCGUGGGAUAUAAUAAUAUAUCGGUAGGGGAGCAUUCCAGCGACGUAGAAGGAAAAAGGGCGACUUUUUCUGGAGUUUCUGGAAAAGCAAAUGUAGGUAUAAGUAACGAUAAAGGGGGCGAGAACCCCCCUCGCCGAAAGACCAAGGAUUCCUGAUCAACGCUAAUCGGAUCAGGGUUAGUCGGGGCCUAAGGAUAAGCCGAAUGGCGAUUCCGAUGGACGAACCGGUUAAUAUUCCGGUACUGAUACAGAGAGCGAUGUGGUGACGGAGAAGUGACAGUCCGGCCGUCUGACGGAAUAGGCGGUUAAAGGGUGUAGAUGUUGAUCGGGGUAGGCAAAUCCGCCCUGAGAGUCGAACCUGAUAGUACCCGGAGUACAAGUACGAAGGGAUAAGGACGUAAACCGGCUCCCAAGAAAACCCGCUAAGCAUAUUUCUGUGUUACCCGUACCGUAAACCGACACAGGUGGUUGGGUUGAGUAUACUAAGGCGCUCGAGAGAUUCGCGGUUAAGGAACUAGGCAAAAUGGUCCUGUAACUUCGGGAGAAAGGACGCCUGUCUCCGGACAGGCCGCAGAAACCAGGCCCAGGCGACUGUUUAACAAAAACACAAGGCUAUGCAAAAAAGCAAUUUGAGGUAUAUAGUCUGACACCUGCCCGGUGCUGGAAGGUUAAGAGGAGGAGUCAUCGUCAAGAGAAGCUCUGAAUUGAAGCCCCAGUAAACGGCGGCCGUAACUAUAACGGUCCUAAGGUAGCGAAAUUCCUUGUCGGGUAAGUUCCGACCUGCACGAAUGGUGUAACGAUCUGGGUACUGUCUCAACCGCGAGCUCGGUGAAAUUGUAGUAUCGGUGAAGAUGCCGAUUACCCGCAACGGGACGAAAAGACCCCGUGAACCUUUACUAUAGCUUUACAUUGUAUUUGGGCAUCAGAUGUGUAGGAUAGGCCGGAGGCAGAGAAGCGGGUACGCCAGUAUUCGUGGAGUCGAUGUUGAAAUACGGCCCUUUUGAUGUUUGGAUACUAACUCGCGGCGUGCGAGGACAGUGGAUGGUGGGUAGUUUGACUGGGGUGGUCGCCUCCAAAAGCGUAAC